rnacentral:rRNA from 1 species
CCGAAACCCGGUGAUCUAGCCAUGGGCAGGUUGAAGGUUGGGUAACACUAACUGGAGGACCGAACCGACUAAUGUUGAAAAAUUAGCGGAUGACCUGUGGCUGGGGGUGAAAGGCCAAUCAAACCGGGAGAUAGCUGGUUCUCCCCGAAAGCUAUUUAGGUAGCGCCUCGUGAAUUCAUCUCCGGGGGUAGAGCACUGUUUCGGCUAGGGGGCCAUCCCGGCUUACCAACCCGAUGCAAACUGCGAAUACCGGAGAAUGUUAUCACGGGAGACACACGGCGGGUGCUAACGUCCGUCGUGAAGAGGGAAACAACCCAGACCGCCAGCUAAGGUCCCAAAGUCAUGGUUAAGUGGGAAACGAUGUGGGAAGGCCCAGACAGCCAGGAUGUUGGCUUAGAAGCAGCCAUCAUUUAAAGAAAGCGUAAUAGCUCACUGGUCGAGUCGGCCUGCGCGGAAGAUGUAACGGGGCUAAACCAUGCACCGAAGCUGCGGCAGCGAACGUAUCACCCAAGACAACUUUACGGAGUUGACGAUUGACGGAGCGAAGCGACGUCAAAGCGUUCAUUAAAGUCGAGUUGGCUUAGGGAUACGUUCGUUGGGUAGGGGAGCGUUCUGUAAGCCUGUGAAGGUGUGUCGUGAGGC